UGUAUAACUGCCAAAUUGCCAUCCAGAACUUCAGCACUGGCCAAUUUGGAGAUUUAUAUCCUCCUGGUGCUAUAUAUUAGGGAAAAGUCUGUGCUUGACCUCAUCGAGUAGACUGGCAGAGAAGAGAGGUGAUCUAAUGAAACUUGGAAGAUCAAUCUUAAAACCCUCUCUCAGAGAAACCUUAACCUGACUUCCCAAUGCUGAGCAGAUCAUGAAAUCUACAGGGCGCAGCUGCAGUAUUAAACCGUGGAAAUGUUCGCCUCACCUCACAUUGGCUCAGCAUAGUGGGAAUGCAGGGUGGCCAGAAGGCAAAGGUCUGAGGAAGGGCGGAGUUCUGAAAAUCACUCUAUAAAUCCUGUUUCUAGGGUGUGCUCAGAAUGUCCGUUUUAGUACAAACCACUACCACAAUCACAUACAUCAACCGGAAUCUACUGUAUUUCAUGUAAUAAUCUGUGGAAUAUGAAAAGAGAUAUAGAAGAAAUAAUUGAGACAUUUGCGUGUGUACAGUUCCGAUUCUUGCCUGAGCAUCCUUCUGCAGAAGGAGCUGGACCGUUUUAGCAUGUCAUAAGGACAGGCAGACUUCUAAUUCAAGGCUCUCAAGACCCGUCAGGUCUGCAGCAACCUCAAAGCUUCCUGUCAAUGUUGUUAAUGGCAAAUCUAAGCAUGUGAGUGUUUUCGGUCAGGGUGCUCCUAAUAGCAUCGUGAUUGUCAAGUGAUUGAGGACAAUCAUAGGGAGAAGACAGAAAUGGUCUAUUAGGACUUCGUGGCCAUCUUGCCCCCUCCCCACAGAGCUGCUUCUUUCUACAGGCACAAUAGGGCGGUGACCUACAGGAGAUUUACUGUAGCUUUUCGUAGUCCUAUUUUCAGCCACUACAAGUUAUGAAAAUCUAACGCUGGGGGGAGGAAUGGGAAAUAUGCCCUAAUGCUAUAAAUACAUACCCUACUGCUAGAUAUUUUCAAAGAACUAUUUGCUAGAGCCUAUUACUUAUGCUCUAGAUGGCACUUCUCUUAUAUUUAACAAAAGCAAAAAUG
rnacentral:lncRNA from 1 species